rnacentral:rRNA from 1 species
GGUUAAGCGACUAAGCGUACACGGUGGAUGCCCUGGCAGUCAGAGGCGAUGAAGGACGUGCUAAUCUGCGAUAAGCGUCGGUAAGGUGAUAUGAACCGUUAUAACCGGCGAUUUCCGAAUGGGGAAACCCAGUGUGAUUCGUCACACUAUCAUUAACUGAAUCCAUAGGUUAAUGAGGCGAACCGGGGGAACUGAAACAUCUAAGUACCCCGAGGAAAAGAAAUCAACCGAGAUUCCCCCAGUAGCGGCGAGCGAACGGGGAGCAGCCCAGAGCCUGAAUCAGUGUGUGUGUUAGUGGAAGCGUCUGGAAAGGCGCGCGAUACAGGGUGACAGCCCCGUACACAAAAAUGCACAUGCUGUGAGCUCGAUGAGUAGGGCGGGACACGUGGUAUCCUGUCUGAAUAUGGGGGGACCAUCCUCCAAGGCUAAAUACUCCUGACUGACCGAUAGUGAACCAGUACCGUGAGGGAAAGGCGAAAAGAACCCCGGCGAGGGGAGUGAAAAAGAACCUGAAACCGUGUACGUACAAGCAGUGGGAGCACAGAGCAAUCUGUGUGACUGCGUACCUUUUGUAUAAUGGGUCAGCGACUUAUAUUCUGUAGCAAGGUUAACCGAAUAGGGGAGCCGAAGGGAAACCGAGUCUUAACUGGGCGUUAAGUUGCAGGGUAUAGACCCGAAACCCGGUGAUCUAGCCAUGGGCAGGUUGAAGGUUGGGUAACACUAACUGGAGGACCGAACCGACUAAUGUUGAAAAAUUAGCGGAUGACUUGUGGCUGGGGGUGAAAGGCCAAUCAAACCGGGAGAUAGCUGGUUCUCCCCGAAAGCUAUUUAGGUAGCGCCUCGUGAAUUCAUCUCCGGGGGUAGAGCACUGUUUCGGCAAGGGGGUCAUCCCGACUUACCAACCCGAUGCAAACUGCGAAUACCGGAGAAUGUUAUCACGGGAGACACACGGCGGGUGCUAACGUCCGUCGUGAAGAGGGAAACAACCCAGACCGCCAGCUAAGGUCCCAAAGUCAUGGUUAAGUGGGAAACGAUGUGGGAAGGCCCAGACAGCCAGGAUGUUGGCUUAGAAGCAGCCAUCAUUUAAAGAAAGCGUAAUAGCUCACUGGUCGAGUCGGCCUGCGCGGAAGAUGUAACGGGGCUAAACCAUGCACCGAAGCUGCGGCAGCGACGCUUAUGCGUUGUUGGGUAGGGGAGCGUUCUGUAAGCCUGUGAAGGUGUGCUGUGAGGCAUGCUGGAGGUAUCAGAAGUGCGAAUGCUGACAUAAGUAACGAUAAAGCGGGUGAAAAGCCCGCUCGCCGGAAGACCAAGGGUUCCUGUCCAACGUUAAUCGGGGCAGGGUGAGUCGACCCCUAAGGCGAGGCCGAAAGGCGUAGUCGAUGGGAAACAGGUUAAUAUUCCUGUACUUGGUGUUACUGCGAAGGGGGGACGGAGAAGGCUAUGUUGGCCGGGCGACGGUUGUCCCGGUUUAAGCGUGUAGGCUGGUUUUCCAGGCAAAUCCGGAAAAUCAAGGCUGAGGCGUGAUGACGAGGCACUACGGUGCUGAAGCAACAAAUGCCCUGCUUCCAGGAAAAGCCUCUAAGCAUCAGGUAACAUCAAAUCGUACCCCAAACCGACACAGGUGGUCAGGUAGAGAAUACCAAGGCGCUUGAGAGAACUCGGGUGAAGGAACUAGGCAAAAUGGUGCCGUAACUUCGGGAGAAGGCACGCUGAUAUGUAGGUGAGGUCCCUCGCGGAUGGAGCUGAAAUCAGUCGAAGAUACCAGCUGGCUGCAACUGUUUAUUAAAAACACAGCACUGUGCAAACACGAAAGUGGACGUAUACGGUGUGACGCCUGCCCGGUGCCGGAAGGUUAAUUGAUGGGGUUAGCGGUAACGCGAAGCUCUUGAUCGAAGCCCCGGUAAACGGCGGUACCGUAACUAUAACGGUCCUAAGGUAGCGAAAUUCCUUGUCGGGUAAGUUCCGACCUGCACGAAUGGCGUAAUGAUGGCCAGGCUGUCUCCACCCGAGACUCAGUGAAAUUGAACUCGCUGUGAAGAUGCAGUGUACCCGCGGCAAGACGGAAAGACCCCGUGAACCUUUACUAUAGCUUGACACUGAACAUUGAGCCUUGAUGUGUAGGAUAGGUGGGAGGCUUUGAAGUGUGGACGCCAGUCUGCAUGGAGCCGGCCUUGAAAUACCACCCUUUAAUGUUUGAUGUUCUAACGUUGGCCCCUGAUCGGGGUUGCGGACAGUGUCUGGUGGGUAGUUUGACUGGGGCGGUCUCCUCCUAAAGAGUAACGGAGGAGCACGAAGGUUGGCUAAUCCUGGUCGGACAUCAGGAGGUUAGUGCAAUGGCAUAAGCCAGCUUGACUGCGAGCGUGACGGCGCGAGCAGGUGCGAAAGCAGGUCAUAGUGAUCCGGUGGUUCUGAAUGGAAGGGCCAUCGCUCAACGGAUAAAAGGUACUCCGGGGAUAACAGGCUGAUACCGCCCAAGAGUUCAUAUCGACGGCGGUGUUUGGCACCUCGAUGUCGGCUCAUCACAUCCUGGGGCUGAAGUAGGUCCCAAGGGUAUGGCUGUUCGCCAUUUAAAGUGGUACGCGAGCUGGGUUUAGAACGUCGUGAGACAGUUCGGUCCCUAUCUGCCGUGGGCGCUGGAGAACUGAGGGGGCUGCUCCUAGUACGAGAGGACCGGAGUGGACGCAUCACUGGUGUUCGGGUUGUCAUGCCAAUGGCACUGCCCGGUAGCUAAAUGCGGAAGAGAUAAGUGCUGAAAGCAUCUAAGCACGAAACUUGCCCCGAGAUGAGUUCUCCCUGACUCCUUGAGAGUCCUGAAGGAACGUUGAAGACGACGACGUUGAUAGGCCGGGUGUGUAAGCGCAGCGAUGCGUUGAGCUAACCGGUACUAAUGAACCGUGAGGCUUAACCUU